rfam:Parcubacteria (Thrbacteria) bacterium GW2011_GWF2_39_13 TT30_C0027, whole genome shotgun sequence.
CAAGUCCUCCAUCCGGUAAGGGGUAGCCACCCGCCGGAACCCCAAGUGAUGCCUUGACGUACAGCAAGGGCGUAGGGAAGCGUUCACAGGGAAACACACAGGCAUGGUAAUGAGCCUCGAAAUUUCAAUUAAGUCCAGAGCGCCGACCUGUUUUUCUACAAGGGCGGGCAAAAUGAAAAGUUACGAGAGAGUAUAAAUUGUCUCAAGAAUA